rnacentral:rRNA from 1 species
CAGUAAAACACUAGGGUAGGUGCCCGACGGUAGUGUAUGAAUAAGCAUCGCUAACUCCGUGCCAGCAGCCGCGGUAAUACGGAGGAUGCGAGCGUAUCCGGAUUCAUUAGGUUUAAAGGGUGCGUAGGCGGUCUUUAAGUCAGUGGUGAAAUCUUGCCGCUUAACGGUAAAAUUGCCAUUGAUACUGAAAGACUUGAGUACAGUGAGGUAAACGGAAUGUGUAGUGUAGCGGUGAAAUGCUUAGAUAUUACACAGAACACCAAUUGCGAAGGCAGCUUACUAAACUGGCAACUGACGCUGAUGCACGAAAGCGUGCGGAGCGAACAGGAUUAGAUACCCUGGUAGUCCGCGCCGUAAACGAUGCUCACUCGCUGUAUGCGAUACACAGCAAGCGGCCAAGCGAAAGCAUUAAGUGAGCCACGUGGGGAGUACGAUCGCAAGGUUGAAACUCAAAGGAAUUGACGGGGGCCCGCACAAGCGGAGGAACAUGUGGUUUAAUUCGAUGAUACGCGAGGAACCUUACCUGGGCUUAAAUGUAGAGCGACAGAUUGUGAAAGCAGUCCUUCUUCGGACGAUCUACAAGGUGGUGCAUGGUUGUUGUCAGCUCGUGCCGUGAGGUGUCGGGUUAAGUCCCAUAACGAGCGCAACCCUUAUCGUUAGUUGCCAGCGGGUCAAGCCGGGGACUCUAGCGAGACUGCCACCGUAAGGUGUGAGGAAGGUGGGGAUGACGUCAAAUCAGCACGGCCCUUAUGUCCAGGGUUACACACGUGUUACAAUGGCCGAUACAAAGGGCAGCUACCAGGUGACUGGAUGCUAAUCUCCAAAGUCGGUGUCAGUUCGGAUCGAAGUCUGCAACCCGACUUCGUGGAGCUGGAUUCGCUAGUAAUCGCAUAUCAGCCAUGAUGCGGUGAAUACGUUCCCGGGCCUUGUACACACCGCCCGUCAAACAAGGAAGCGGGGGUACCUAAGUCUGUAACCGCAAGGAGCGGCCUAGGG